UGGGGAAUAUUGGACAAUGGGCGCAAGCCUGAUCCAGCAAUGCCGCGUGUGUGAAGAAGGCCUUCGGGUUGUAAAGCACUUUUAUCAGGAGCGAAACGCUGUCGGCUAAUACCCGGCGGAACUGACGGUACCUGAGGAAUAAGCACCGGCUAACUUCGUGCCAGCAGCCGCGGUAAUACGAAGGGUGCAAGCGUUAAUCGGAAUUACUGGGCGUAAAGCGUGCGUAGGCGGUUUCUUAAGUCUGCUGUGAAAUCCCCGGGCUCAACCUGGGAAUGGCAGUGGAUACUGGGAGGCUAGAGUGUGUCAGAGGGUGGUGGAAUUCCCGGUGUAGCGGUGAAAUGCGUAGAGAUCGGGAGGAACAUCAGUGGCGAAGGCGGCCACCUGGGACAACACUGACGCUGAGGCACGAAAGCGUGGGGAGCAAACAGGAUUAGAUACCCUGGUAGUCCACGCCCUAAACGAUGCGAACUGGAUGUUGGUCUCAACUCGGAGAUCAGUGUCGAAGCUAACGCGCUAAGUUCGCCGCCUGGGG
rnacentral:rRNA from 1 species